ensembl:lncRNA novel transcript
GGAGAGAUCAUGGCGGACGGGAGGCAAGACUAGCCUGCAGCUCUGGACAGAGCAGCGAGUGGGAGCUCGCAUUGUAAACUUUAGCUCCAGAUGGACGGCAAAAACAAACCAGCAAUCCCCAGAGGACCCACAGACCCUCUGAAGGAAGUGGGCUGCUCCUGCAGGACCCGGGAGACCCCCAAAACUGUGAGUGUCCAGCUGCCGAAGUGGGAAAGGGAAACCCUCCUCUCCGGAACAGACACCCCCUGAGAAGUCUAUUUGUGGGAGAAGUUUCCGACUUUACCUGGAGCUGAGUCAGUCUGGAGAGCUGACUGAAAUACAGGGAUAGAGGAGGCAGCAGCAAGGCCCUGGGAGCUGAAUGGGUCCCCGGGCAGCCCAUUCCUGCCUGGCACCACAGGGAUCCAACGGGAGAGGAACAGAGGGUAAAACUACACGGAGAGAAGGAAAUCUCUAGCUGAACUUUGUAACAAUUCGAACAGCGUGAGAAGUCUCCUGGCCAGAACUCGGGGGAGGACACAAAUCUCCUGCACAGUUAAUAUCCAGAGUCACACGUGGAGAGGAAGCAUCACAAUGAGACCAUACAACCAUAUAAUCUGUUCAAGUCCUAGAAGGUGUUGGCAGAGCUGCAGGACUGACCUAGGUCAAUGGCUGUGGGGGAAGAAAAGACACCAGAUGUUUCCGAUCAAGAGACAAGAGAAACAUUCAGCGUGACCCUAGAAAAUCUUUCUAAAGAGAUUUCACAACACUCAGCUCAUGUUUCGGGUCCAUGAAACCAUCUUUAGAUGAAUGAUGCCUUGUUACCUGUGAGAGGAAGUGAGCAGCGAGGAGUCCUGUCAGUUCCGGAAGGAGUAUUUGGGUUACUGUUCUUCAUUGUCUGCAGUUCUACAAGGUCUUGCUCAGUCGCCCAGGCUGAAGUGCAGUGGUGUGAUCAUAGCUCACUGCAGCCUCAACUUCCUGGAGUCAAGCAAGCCUCCCACAUCAGCCUCCUGAGUAGAUUGGAGACCUGUUGUGUGUUACCUUUGGAAGGUUUUCCACAGUUGAGAUCCAGUUGCUCCAGCAUCAUUUGUUGAGUGGUCUCUCUUCAUCCACAGAGCUCCAGAGUGUCUCCUCUUACAGGACUUCUACACGUUGGGCACAAAUUUCAGCAUGGCGUUAAGAAGAACUGUGAGUGGGCAUUCUUGCCUUAUUUCUACUUUCAGAGGAAGAUAUUUUGUUGUUCCCUGUUGAUAUUUGCAUUCAGAUGUUUUGUGAGUCCUUCUUAGUAUAUGAAGGGUAUUAUAUUCCAUUCAUUAUUUCAUUCAGUUCAAAAAAUUUUCUACAUUUGACCAUAUAUUUGUGAUAAAAAGAAUGUUUAGCAGUGUAUUUCAAAAACAUAUUUCAAAACAUAUGGGAAUUUUCCAAAUUUUUCUGGCUAUUCAUUUUCUAACUUAAUUGCUGAUAAUUAAGAAAGUAAAUUAUUAUCUUGUCUGAGUUAAGCAUUGUAUGAAUGCCAGUAAAAAGAGAAGUAGAGAAAAUCAUGCAAGAUAAAUUGGGUAUAUAGGUUCCUAAAAUGUGAUACCUGAGCUAGAGUGGAAGAAGCUGCAGCUUUAGAACCAGUUUAGAUUCUUGGUUUGUUUUCAUCUUUCCUUGACUCUGGGCCACUUCUGUAUCACCAACGUUUACAAUGAUUGAAUGUCACUCUAGGUUCAUUUACUUCUUAUUCUAAAGCCAAAUAUUUAGGUCCAUUAGAGGCCAACAUUAUUAUUAAGAGCUCUUUAGCACCCAAUGACAUUUUUCUUUCAAAAAGUCAAUAUUUUAUAGAAUCUAAAUUAAGUGGGAAAAGAGAUUUAAGAUUCGCUAUGAAUACAUUCUAAUUAUUUUUACAACAUUUUAUAACAAGAUUAAACUUUUGGUGAGUUCUGCUAAACUAUGAUAACUACAAAUCUGGAAACCUUUUUCUCCCCCCCAAAAUAAUUUUAUCUUUUAGGUUCUUUCUUCUUUUUUGUUCCUCUGUUUUUGCUGAUACAUUGAGAGUAGAUUUUAGCAAUUUUAAAGUAAGAGGGCUAUUCUCGUCAGUACAAGUUCUCCCAGGAAAAAUUUUUUAAAAAUCAGACAUACUUACCAAUCUGCGAAUAAACUUAAUAGUGAUAUAAAGGUAAAGUCAUGGGAGGAUUAAAAUCUGGAUUAAAAUCAAGAUACGGAAUUCUAUGAAAAUAAAUAUGAUUUCUGAUAUCUUUUUAAAGG